rnacentral:lncRNA from 1 species
GGAGUUAAUAUAAUUUCCAUACGAAAAUUUGAUGCAAAUAUAUAUUGCGGUGAUACAAAUCAAAUUACCCAAAUGAGCUAGAAAAAGUUGAGUUAUAUUGCGGUGAUACGAAUCAAAUUGCCCCGAAGGUCCUCGAAGCCUGUAUUACUACAGCGGUGAGAUUACAAUUACAGGAGGGAUCCUAAGGAUUUAUAGAAAUUACAAACUAGUCCUUGCACUUUGCGGACAAGCCCUCAAAAAGAUAAACGGGAAAACCAAUCAAGGGCUUGGUCUUCACCGCUCCUCGCCGACGACCUCGGAGGUGUGGGGAUCAACGCUCGAAGGGCCUCAAGGCCUGGGCGCCAGCAACACAUCCGGGGACGAAACCACUUGGAGCGUUGAUACCCACAUCCAAGGUCUUCCAGUUAAGGAAGAAGCAGCCCGGGCCGAGCGCGGAGGGCCGUGGAUAGCAUCGGCAUACAAGGGCCUCUGCUGAUGCACUCCGCCACAGAAUCCGGCUUCAGAAGCACUCCAGUUGUGAAGCACUCCACUUCUCCUACAGAAUCCUGACGACAGGGAGAAGAACGCAUAGCCCCUCGAUCCAUCCGAAGCCCUGCUCCACCGGCUGAAACCUCCAUCUUCAUCUGGAAGAUUCAGUUCGAGCUUAUUUAAAGGGUAGGCAGCAAGGGUAUGCUUAUCUCCGACCACCGGAGCAGCCAGCCACCACAUGCAGCUCGGGUGCAUCGGCAUCACGCCAUUCUCCACGUAGGAAAAACAACAACUACACCAACCUCUAUCUACAGAGAGGGGCCGGCCUCCCCUCCCCCAUCCACUCCGGCCGGCGGAGGGAAGAGGGAGAGGAGCCGGGGUGCAGACUCUCAAAAGAAGGAGUAGAGAGAGGAGGAGGAGAAAGGGAAUGAGAGCCUUUUGAAUUCUCUUAUGUCCAAGAGCGUUAAAGAGAUAAACUUUGAGGGUGAAUAAACACGAUAAGAUUAUCAGUGAAGUGGGCAUAUGUAAUGCUUCCAUAAACCCAACACUAAUUCUGUUGUCUUAAACUCAAGGCAGCAAUCGCUCAUGCAAGAGUACGUAGCGUUUGCAGCAGCAUCCAACUUAAUUAAAUACUUAUAUUAAAAUUCAAGGAAAAGGUGUAAUUACCUGUAGAAGCUGGCAAUUCAAGGAAGUUUGCCGGCGGCGAGACGGCGGACGCAGCUGCAACGGCCUUCUGGUAUUCCUUCUUAUGAAUGCCACCCUCCCCCUCUCAUAUUAAUUAACUCCUUGGUGCUGUCAAGAUUUGCUGGCCCUAACGUCCACGCCCAGUCUGUACGUAUAGUGUGAGAGGGUGAAGCAAACUAACUAGGAGAGAGGGAGGAAGCAGCUAGGUACUCCCUCCGUUCCAAAAUAGAUGAGUCAACUUUGUACUAACUAGUACAAGAGCACUCAGCCACGGCGGGAGUAGCUACCUUCUUGAUAACAACAAAGCAAGCAACCAAGGAUUGAUUUUUUCAAACAAGGAACCAACUCAACUCUUGCGGUCCCUUGGGUUGAUUCAAAGGAAGGAAGGAGAAGGAAACUUGGAUUGGAUUCGGGAUUCAACAAAGAAAUAUC